GAUGAACGCUGGCGGCGUGCCUAAUACAUGCAAGUCGAGCGAACGGACGAGAAGCUUGCUUCUCUGAUGUUAGCGGCGGACGGGUGAGUAACACGUGGAUAACCUACCUAUAAGACUGGGAUAACUUCGGGAAACCGGAGCUAAUACCGGAUGAUAUUUUGAACCGCAUGGUUCAAAAGUGAAAGACGGUCUUGCUGUCACUUAUAGAUGGAUCCGCGCUGCAUUAGCUAGUUGGUAAGGUAACGGCUUACCAAGGCGACGAUGCAUAGCCGACCUGAGAGGGUGAUCGGCCACACUGGAACUGAGACACGGUCCAGACUCCUACGGGAGGCAGCAGUAGGGAAUUUGCCGCAAUGGUCGAAAGCCUGACGGAGCAACGCCGCGUGAGUGAUGGAGGUCUUCGGAUCGUAAAACUCUGUUAUUAGGGAAGAACAUAUGUGUAAGUAACUGUGCACAUCUUGACGGUACCUAAUCAGAAAGCCACGGCUAACUACGUG
rnacentral:rRNA from 1 species